UACAGAGGUGCGAGCGUUAAUCGGAAUUACUGGGCGUAAGCGUGCGUAGACGGCUAUCUAAGUCGGGUGUGAAAGCCCCGGGCUCAACCUGGGAAUUGCAUUCGAGACUGAAUAGCUAGGGUACGGUAGAAGGGAAGUGGAAUUUCCGGUGUAGCGGUGAAAAUGCGUAGAUAUCAGGAGGAACACCGAUGGCGAAGGCAGCUCGCUGGGACGGUACUGACGCUCGAUGCAGAAAGCGUGGGGAGCAAACAGG
rnacentral:rRNA from 1 species